rnacentral:rRNA from 1 species
UACGGGGGGAGCAAGCGUUGUUCGGAUUUACUGGGCGUAAAGAGCGCGUAGGCGGAAGGUUAAGCGUGGCUUGAAAGCCCCCGGCUCAACCGGGGAGGGCGGCUGCGAACUGGCUUUCUUGAGGUCGAUAGAGGAGAGCGGAAUUCCUGGUGUAGCGGUGAAAUGCGUAGAUAUCAAGAGGAACACCGGUGGCGAAAGCGGCUCUCUGGAAGAUUCCUGACUCUGAAACACGAAAGCUAGGGGAGCAAACGGG